rnacentral:rRNA from 1 species
UACAGAGGGGGCAAGCGUUGUUCGGAAUUACUGGGCGUAAAGGGCGCGUAGGCGGCCCGCUAAGUCGAACGUGAAAUCCCCAGGCUUAACCUGGGAACUGCAUCUGAUACUGGAUGGCUUGAGUUCGGGAGAGGGAUGUGGAAUUCCAGGUGUAGCGGUGAAAUGCGUAGAUAUCUGGAGGAACACCGGUGGCGAAGGCGGCAUCCUGGACCGACACUGACGCUGAUGAGCGAAAGCCAGGGGAGCAAACGGG